rnacentral:rRNA from 1 species
AUUGAACGCUGGCGGCAGGCCUAACACAUGCAAGUCGAACGAGUGGCGGACGGGUGAGUAAUGUCUGGGAAACUGCCCGAUGGAGGGGGAUAACUACUGGAAACGGUAGCUAAUACCGCAUACCAUCGGAUGUGCCCAGAUGGGAUUAGCUUGUAGGUGAGGUAACUGCUCACCUAGGCGACGAGCCCUAGCUGGUCUGAGAGGAUGACCAGCCACACUGGUACUGAGACACUGGCCCGACGCCGACGGGAGGCAGCAGGGGGGAAGAUGGCACAAGGGGCGCAAGCCUGAUGCAGCCAUGCCGCGUGUAUGAAGAAGGCCUUCGGGUUGUAAAUUACUUUCAGCGGGGAGGCGUUACCCGCAGAAGACGCACCGGCUAACGCCGGGCCAGCCGACGCGGUAAUAC